CGUCCUAUUAGCUAGUUGGUGAGGCAAUGGCUCACCAAGGCUACGAUGGGUAGGGGUUCUUAGUGGAAGAUCCCCCACACUGGCACUGAGAUACGGGCCAGACUCCUACGGGAGGCAGCAGUAGGGAAUAUUGGUCAAUGGGCGAAAGCCUGAACCAGCCAUGCCGCGUGCAGGAUGACAGCUCUCUGAGUUGUAAACUGCUUUUGUACAGGAGCAAAACAAUCCCUGCGGGGGUUCUUGAGAGUACUGUAAGAAUAAGCACCGGCUAAUUCCGUGCCAGCAGCCGCGGUAAUACGGAAGGUGCAAGCGUUAUCCGGUUUUAUUGGGUUUAAAGGGUGCGUAGGCGGCUUAUUAAGUCAGUUGUAAAAUCCUAGUGCUUAACGCUAGAACUGCAAUUGAUACUAUU
rnacentral:rRNA from 1 species